rnacentral:rRNA from 1 species
AGUUUGAUCCUGGCUCAGGACGAACGCUGGCGGCGUGCUUAACACAUGCAAGUCGAACGAAGUAGCAAUACUUAGUGGCGAACGGGUGCGUAACACGUGACUAACUUGCCCUACACUGUGGAAUAACGGAGGGAAACUUCCGCUAAUACCGCAUGUUGAGCGAAGGUGGCAUCACCUUUUCUUGAAAGAUUUAUCGGUGUAGGAUAGGGUCGCGGCCUAUUAGCUUGUUGGUGGGGUAACGGCCUACCAAGGCGACGAUGGGUAGCUGGUCUGAGAGGAUGAUCAGCCACACUGGGACUGAGAUACGGCCCAGACUCCUACGGGAGGCAGCAGUGAGGAAUAUUGCGCAAUGGACGAAAGUCUGACGCAGCAACGCCGCGUGAAGGAUGAAGGUGCUCUGCAUUGUAAACUUCUGUAGGGAGGGAAGAACCCCCCGUUAUUGACGGGGCUGACGGUACCUCCAAAGUAAGCACCGGCUAAUUCCGUGCCAGCAGCCGCGGUAAUACGGAAGGUGCAAGCGUUGUCCGGAUUGACUGGGUGUAAAGGGCGCGUAGGCGGAGAGGUGUGUCGGGAGUGAAAUCGUGCGGCUUAACCGUAUCAAUUGCUUUCGAAACUACCUCCCUUGAGUGCAGGAGGGGCAGAUGGAAUACCUGGUGUAGCGGUGGAAUGCGUAGAUAUCAGGUAGAACACCGGAGGCGAAGGCGGUCUGCUGGUCUGUAACUGACGCUGAGGCGCGAAAGUGUGGGGAGCAAACAGGAUUAGAUACCCUGGUAGUCCACACCGUAAACGAUGAUCACUAGUCGUCGGGGGAUUCGACCCUCUCGGUGACGGCGCUACGCAUUAAGUGAUCCACCUGGGGAGUACGCUCGCAAGGGUGAAACUCAAAGGAAUUGACGGGAGCCCGCACAAGCGGUGGAGCAUGUGGGUUUAAUUCGAUGCAACGCGA